rnacentral:RNase_P_RNA from 1 species
CCAGUUGGCCGGGCAGCCGCUCUCCGCUAGGACCGAAAGGUUGCGGGGGGAGGAAAGUCCGGGCUCCACGGAAACACGGUGCCGGAUAACGUCCGGCGGGGGCGACCCCAGGGAAAGUGCCACAGAAAGGAAACCGCCCCGCCUGCUUUUUCGUCCAAGUUGUGAGGCCGCUUUGAAACUGUAUACAGUUUACGUGGGGUGAUCGCAGGACGGCAAAGCUGGCGGGGUAAGGGUGAAAGGGUGGGGUAAGAGCCCACCGCGCGCCUGGCAACAGGGGCGGCACGGCAAACCCCACCGGGAGCAAAACCGAAUAGGGAUGACGCGGAGCGCGCAAGCGUUCCAGCCGGUUUCCAGGCCGGUCAUCCGGGUGGGUUGCAAGAGGCCGGGCGCAAGUCCGGUCCCAGAUGAAUGGCUGCCACGUUCCGGUCUUCGGACCGGAGCCUUACAGAACCCGGCUUACAGGCCAACUGGCACU